rnacentral:lncRNA from 1 species
GAGUUAUUGUUCAUGCAUGGAGACAUAGAUUGCUUCUACGUUCAAGGUUUCACAUGCUACUAUAAUUGUUGCUGCAAUUGAUUUAUUUGUUGUAAGAAAUCGGUCUGCAAGGUGUGAAGAAAAGGAGAAGCUUGAAUCUGUAAAUCAAGGAAAAUUUGGGUAUAGCAAGAAGGAAGAUCUGGAAUUACCAUUGUUUUUUAUUUGUCUGCUUAUUUUUGAAGAGAAGG